rnacentral:rRNA from 1 species
AUACGGAGGGUGCAAGCGUUAUUCGGAAUCACUGGGCGUAAAGGACGCGUAGGCGGGUUGGCAAGUCAGAUGUGAAAUCCUACAGCUUAACUGUAGAACUGCAUUUGAAACUGCUAACCUAGAGUAUGGGAGGGGGAGAUGGAAUUAGUGGUGUAGGGGUAAAAUCCGUAGAUAUCACUAGGAAUACCGAAAGCGAAGGCGAUCUCCUGGAACAUAACUGACGCUAAGGCGUGAAAGCGUGGGGAGCAAACGGGAUUAGAAACCCGAGUAGUCC